GAUGAACGCUGGCGGCGUGCCUAAUACAUGCAAGUCGAGCGAACAGACGAGGCGCUUGCUCCUCUGACGUUAGCGGCGGACGGGUGAGUAACACGUGGAUAACCUACCUAUAAGACUGGGAUAACUUCGGGAAACCGGAGCUAAUCCCGGAUAAUCUAUUGAACCGCAUGGUUCAAUAGUGAAAGACGGUUUUGCUGUCACUUAUAGAUGGAUCCGCGCCGCAUUAGCUAGUUGGUAAGGUAACGGCUUACCAAGGCAACGAUGCGUAGCCGACCUGAGAGGGUGGUCGGCCACACGGGAACUGAGACACGGUCCAGACGACUACGGGAGGCAGCAGUAGGGAAUCUUCCGCAAUGGGCGAAAGCCUGACGGAGCAACGCCGCGUGAGUGAUGAAGGUCUUCGGAUCGUAAAACUCUGUUAUUAGGGAAGAACAAAUGUGUAAGUAACUAUGCACGUCGUGACGGUACCUAAUCAGAAAGCCACGGCUAACUACGUG
rnacentral:rRNA from 1 species